CGACGACCAGAGUUCUAAAUACGACCAGUAACUCGUCGUAUUUGUGAUAUAGGAAGUAUAUAUUUUUUUUAAUAGAGAAAGCUUGAAAUUACCCAAAAAACGAAUUAAAUAGAAAAAACAAAAGAAAAAAAAAGUUGAACUAACAAAACAAAAACCCUCUUCCCUUUCGCACCUCCUCUCCUCUCCACCAAACAUGGUAGCAAAAUUCUUGCUACCCUAAUUCUCACCACAAAACAGUGAAUUUCUCCCCAUACCUCAAUUUCUUACUCUAUUCGAAUAGAUCUGGUCAUAAUUUAUAGUUUCAAUUCUGAGUAUUGAGUCGGCGAUUCCAAUUUGCUUUUCAAUUAGCCAAUUGUGAAGAUAAGUGCGAAAUUUGCUCUCCUUCGAGGAGUUUGAACCGUUUUAGAGGCUGCAGUAGUUGGUCCAGGAAACGAACUGGGAAAACCUAUUGAUGUCAGUAACGCUUCUGAUCAAAUCUUUGGGCUUGUGCUGAUGAAAGACUGGAGUGGUUAAUCUUUUGCGAUCUUUAUUCUUUAAUCUGGAUUCCACUUAUUCUUUAAACUGAAUAAUCUUCAAAUUUACUUGAAAAUGGUUUCCAUAGCUAGAGAUAUUCAGGGGUGGGAAUACAUGCCUCUUUGACCUUUCCCGGGGAAGAGUUUUGGUACAACAAUCUCAUCCUGGACACUCUGGAUUCUCUGGAACCUUUGCUAGUGGUGUCCUAGAACAGGAUCCUCCUCCUUUUCCAUGUAUAGAAAUGACGGCAGAAGAAGCUAAAAGACUUGAUCACUUCUUCUGCCAAAAUUGUUCCUCCGACGACCCGAAGAAGUUGCAGAACUCACAUGCUGCAUCUAGACAAUCUGAUACGAAGAUUACUAUGUCUGAAGGUUCAUAUUCUAAUCCUUUAAGUUCAUCUCCUCUGAAAGGGCUACAACUCUAAGUUCCAACCUGUGUGGUUCUUCUAUUCCGGUAACUGUACUGUCCAGACUCCAGAUAAUUUCACACAUAUAUAGGAUCAAAUGGAUCAAGAUGAAGGAUUGGAGUAGCAUUUUGGAGUUGUUAGCUGCUGCGCGCUGUCGCUGUUGUUUGCUGCUGUCGCUGCUAGCUGCUGCUGUGCGUCUGCUGCUGUUACUGUUGUUGUACUGCUGUCAAUACUAUUACUGUUACUGUUACUGAUCUGUAGUCUACUGUUGUAUGUUGGCAACUGCUAGCUGCUGUGCGCUAUUACUACUGAUGUUUGUUUGCUGUUGCGCUGACUAUUAUGUUGUUUUUUCUCUUUUUGGAAUUUGGUAGUCUAGAGAUCGAAGUCGAGGAAGUUGACCGAAUUUGUCUUUCGUUUUGUUUUGUUUAUUAGAUUGUUUAGCCAAACAAAAAAAUAGUGUUUGUGGAUGUUUUUUUAAGAAACUAUGAAAUUAUAUAAAUUUCAAUUAUUUAUUGUA